rnacentral:rRNA from 1 species
UACGAAGGGGGCAAGCGUUGUUCGGAUUUACUGGGCGUAAAGGGCGCGCAGGCGGCCCGUCAAGUCAGAUGUGAAAGCCCCGGGCUCAACCUGGGAAUUGCAUUUGAGACUGGCGGGCUCGAGUUCGGGAGAGGAUGGCGGAAUUCCCAGUGUAGAGGUGAAAUGCGUAGAUAUUGGGAAGAACACCGGUGGCGAAGGCGGCCAUCUGGACCGAGACUGACGCUGAGGCGCGAAAGCGUGGGGAGCAAACAGG